UACAGAGGGGGCAAGCGUUAUUCGGAAUUAUUGGGCGUAAAGGGCGCGUAGGCGGCUUUGCAAGUGGCGGGUGAAAUCCCUCGGCUUAACCGAGGAACUGCCUGUCAAACUGCAUGGCUUGAGACCAGGAGAGGUGAGUGGAAUUCCCAGUGUAGCGGUGAAAUGCGUAGAUAUUGGGGAGGAACACCAGUGGCGAAGGCGGCUCACUGGACUGGUACUGACGCUGAUGCGCGAAAGCGUGGGGAGCAAACAGG
rnacentral:rRNA from 1 species